rfam:Pteropus alecto contig168224, whole genome shotgun sequence.
GUCUAUGGCCAUGCCACCCCGAAUAUGCCCAAUCUCAUCUGAUCUUGGAAGCUAAGCUGGGUCGGGCCUGGUUAGUACUUGGAUGGGAGACCACCUAGGAAUACCAAAUGCUGUAGGCU